AGGCCCUUGUGCCACUGACGCGGUGUGGCAUGAGCCCAACACAGGAGGGUAGAGAGACUCCUCCAUGAAACCCAGGGAUAAGGCCGCCCCUCCUCUCUGGAGCCUGUCUGGAGGCACAGUU